rnacentral:rRNA from 1 species
AAGUUUAAAAGAUGGUCUUGCUAUCACUAAGAGAUGGUCCGCGGUGUAUUAGUUAGUUGGUGAGGUAAUGGCUCACCAAGACAAUGAUACAUAGCCGAGUUGAGAGACUGACCGGCCACAAUGGGACUGAGACACGGCCCAUACUCCUACGGGAGGCAGCAGUAGGGAAUCUUCCACAAUGGACGAAAGUCUGAUGGAGCAACGCCGCGUGUGUGAUGAAGGGUUUCGGCUCGUAAAACACUGUUGUAAGAGAAGAAUGACAUUGAGAGUAACUGUUCAAUGUGUGACGGUAUCUUACCAGAAAGGAACGGCUAAAUACGUG